GAUAUGGCUCAGGACGAACGCUGGCGGCGUGCCUAAUACAUGCAAGUAGAACGCUGAAGGAGGAGCUUGCUUCUCUGGAUGAGUUGCGAACGGGUGAGUAACGCGUAGGUAACCUGCCUGGUAGCGGGGGAUAACUAUUGGAAACGAUAGCUAAUACCGCAUAAGAGUAGAUGUUGCAUGACAUUUGCUUAAAAGGUGCAAUUGCAUCACUACCAGAUGGACCUGCGUUG
rnacentral:rRNA from 1 species